ACAAUUCCUCCUUCAGACACAAUUUUCCUUUCAAAUCAAAUCACCUUACUUGGAGUUUUUGUGCUGAUUGUCAUCAUUGUACAAGGAAUCAUUUCCAUAUGUUGCUGCAGGAAUAAACACAACAGAAGAAAACUGAAAAUCCUGACUUGGAAUGAACUGACCAGCGCUGCAUUAUACCAGGAAGCAGCGGUGGCUGAGCCGUACCUUAAACAGGAAGUGACCAGGUUUUAUUCUGAAGUCAAAGUGACCUGUUGUCAAACUACAAACCAAUGAAUCAUUUCAUACAGACUGAGAGGAUUUCUUCUCCUGCAUGUGAUCAAUGUUUGCACUGGGUUGAAGAAGUGAAAAAAUAUGUUUUAUUUUUUUGCCACCAAUUAGUAAAUAGUAAUCCUAUCUGACCUAAGUAGAAAAAAAGUUGUUUCUUAUUAUAAAGUGAAUGUUGCUACUAGUUAGCAAGACUAAACUGACUCAUUUAUUUUUGGCGACUGAUGAUAUCUUGA